rnacentral:lncRNA from 1 species
UUUUUUUAUGUAUGUAUUUUUUUAAUUUUUAUUUUUUGUCUUUUCUGGGGCCACACCCGAGGCAUAUGGAGGUUCCCAGGAGGGGCCCUAGUAAAGGCAAAAAAAAAAAAAAAAAAGGCAAACAAAAGCAAGGCAUUAAAAAGCCAAUAAAAUAGUCAUAAAUCUCAACUUUUUUGUGUCUUCAUGCCAUCUGGACACACUCCCGUGGGCACACAGCCCAGAAGCCUAUACACGGCCACAGCUCAGACCCAGGAACAAACCACCCCCACCCCCCACCAGAGGGCAGCAAGACCUCCUAAAUGCUGGGGGCACUGAAGACACCCCCAGGUCCCUUCUCAGUCACCAUGACGGCUUAGAACACAGUCAACUCUCUGAGAUAAAGAAAUCUCAUUCUGACUCUGCUAAGAGGCCAGCGGGACCCUGGAAAAAUGGCCUGCUCGCUGACUCAAGCGAAGUGCAGUAAGGCCACAGGUGUCUGGGGCCCUGUGCUCAGGCCUUCAUGGCAGGAACCCUCGACACAGUCGUGAGAGUCGCUUAAUUCUAACGUAGUGUAACUCAGAGGGUUCACACACGGACGCAGAAGCACCGAGGCUGCAGUAAAAUGCUCAAGUAAGAGAAGGCAGGCCCUAACCACUUCCCAGGAAAAGGUCUGGAGUGAAAGGCACAAAACGCGGGGGCGCAUUCCUGCUGAGGCAGAACACAAAGAUGAGGGCAGUCUCGAGUUCUGACCCCUCCGCAUGUGCGGCUGUGUGAUCAACUGGCUGUACCCAAAUGACUGACGAAGAGGAAACUCUAACGCCACCAAGGUUGAGAAUCGGAGCCCAGGGGCCCUGAUGUGCUGGCACCUUCUGGUCUCUUUCGGACCCAGGCGUCUCCCGAGUCACAAACCAGGUGCAUCCUGGCCCCGGCCUUUCCCAUGACUUGUCUUUUCAUCAAGCGCCCUGCGGAGUUCCCGCCGUGGUGCAGUGGGCUAAGAAUCUGACUGCCGGGGCCCGGGUCGCUGCAGAUGCAGGUUCAUUCCCCUGCCCAGAGCAGUGGGUUAAAGGAUCCAGCGUUGCUGCCACUGAGGCUGGGAUUCAAUCCCUGGCCCAGGGGACGUCCGUAUGCCACACAUCUUGAAACACAUACCAAAAAAAAAAAAAAAAAAAAAAAAAAAAAGAAAGGAAAUUAAAAAAAAAAGAGGGCACUGCCAUCAUGGCUCGGUGCCAACAAACCUGAUUUAAAUCCAUGUGGACGCAGGUUCCAUCCCUGCUCCCACUCAGUCGGUUCGGAAUCCGGUGUUGCCGUGAGCCAAGGUGUGGGUCGCAGAUCUGCUGCGGCCGUGGUGUAGGCUGGAGGUCGCAGCUCGGAGUCGACCCCUAGCCUGGGCCCUUUCCCGGGCCUGAGUGCGGGGCCGGGCGGAGAGGAAGGAAGGAACCUGCAUUGCAGCCCCGCGCGCGCACAGGCCACGCGGCCCCACCACAGAGGGAUCCGUCCAACAGCACAAUCCCCCCCACGUAGGCACAGGCACACGUUCAGCCUCAGCUCCCCGUGGGGCGAACAUCUCACCGAAGGGGCCUUGGCGUCUCUGGCAGGAAAACAUGGCUCAAAAAACGGUGGCGCCUGCCUGGCUCCCUCGGCCCCACCCGCCAGCCCGCCUGCGGCUGGGAGCCCCGCGGGCUCACAGGACGUGCGGCGCCCCACGCCCAAGGCCUAGGG